rnacentral:rRNA from 1 species
AACGAACGCUGGCGGCAGGCUUAACACAUGCAAGUCGAACGCCCCGCAAGGGGAGUGGCAGACGGGUGAGUAACGCGUGGGAAUCUACCCAGAUCUUCGGAACAACUGAGGGAAACUUCAGCUAAUACCGGAUACGCCCUACGGGGGAAAGAUUUAUCGGAUUUGGAUGAGCCCGCGUUGGAUUAGCUAGUUGGUGGGGUAAUGGCCUACCAAGGCGACGAUCCAUAGCUGGUCUGAGAGGAUGAUCAGCCACACUGGGACUGAGACACGGCCCAGACUCCUACGGGAGGCAGCAGUGGGGAAUAUUGGACAAUGGGCGAAAGCCUGAUCCAGCCAUGCCGCGUGAGUGAUGAAGGCCUUAGGGUUGUAAAGCUCUUUCAGUAGGGAAGAUAAUGACGGUACCUACAGAAGAAGCCCCGGCUAACUUCGUGCCAGCCGCCGCGGUAA